ACGGGAGGCAGCAGUGGGGAAUAUUGGACAAUGGGGGAAACCCUGAUCCAGCGACGCCGCGUGAGUGAAGAAGUAUUUCGGUAUGUAAAGCUCUAUCAGCAGGGAAGAUAAUGAUGGUACCUGACUAAGAAGCCCCGGCUAACUACGUGCCAGCAGCCGCGGUAAUACGUAGGGGGCAAGCGUUAUCCGGAUUUACUGGGUGUAAAGGGAGCGUAGACGGAAGGCCAAGUCUGAUGUGAAAACCCAGGGCUCAACCCUGGGACUGCAUUGGAAACUGGUCAUCUAGAGUGCAGGAGGGGUAAGCGGAAUUCCUAGUGUAGCGGUGAAAUGCGUAGAUAUUAGGAGGAACACCAGUGGCGAAGGCGGCUUACUGGACUGUAACUGACGUUGAGGCUCGAAAGCGUGGGGAGCAGACAGGAUUAGAUACCCUGGUA
rnacentral:rRNA from 1 species